rnacentral:lncRNA from 1 species
UCUCUUUGUAGUAAAAAUAUGCUUAGUCUUUUGAAAGUAUUUUUUAGCUUUUCUUACUUCAUAAUAGAGUAAUUUCUCUUUGUUGGGAUAGUUGAUAAAGCUUGAUAUAAUUAUAAUACUAUCUCAGUUUUAAUACAUUCUUAGCCGGAAACUCUAUUUACAUUUCAUAUAGAGAUGGAAUGGUAAUUUUUUAAUCAUUAUUAUCACAUCUACAUAUUUU